rnacentral:lncRNA from 1 species
CCCGGCACUCGGUUUUGCCCGAUCUCUUGCGCGACCACCCGAACGGCCUCCAAUCCACGAUCCGAAAAUUAAAGGUCUUCGGUUAUGUGCCACGAUGCUUCAAAUCCGUUUUCAUGGGUUUACGAUGUCGCCUCGGCCCUCCAGGCGGAAACGAAGCCUAAACGUCCGUUUCUUUAAUAACUUCACAACGGCUCGACGAAUCGCCGAACCGACUUCGCCAACGCGUUCGUUUACCUAGCAAUUAGGUUUACAGAGGGUCAAAUUAGAUCAAACCCUCAUAUUUUACAAAACCCCAUUUUCUAAGCCUAACAUGAAUUAAUCUCCAAAUAAUCCAAAUUAAAUGGAGCAAACAUAUUUAGAAUGCUCAUUAGAAGCUAUUAGAACACUAAGCAUUAAGGAUUAAGCCAAAUCCCAAAAGCUUACCUCAAUGUGAACGCCGCGACGAAAUCACGCCGCUCCAACGGACGCACGAAAGCUCGAUCCGUCGCCUCCAACGCGUUCGCGAGCAUCUUCUCCGCAAACGCCGCGAAUUUGAGC